AACGAACGCUGGCGGCAGGCUUAACACAUGCAAGUCGAGCGCCCCGCAAGGGGAGCGGCAGACGGGUGAGUAACGCGUGGGAACGUACCUUUUGGUUCGGAACAACUCCGGGAAACUGGAGCUAAUACCGGAUAAGCCCUAACGGGGAAAGAUUUAUCGCCGAAAGAUCGGCCCGCGUCUGAUUAGCUAGUUGGUGAGGUAACGGCUCACCAAGGCGACGAUCAGUAGCUGGUCUGAGAGGAUGAUCAGCCACACUGGGACUGAGACACGGCCCAGACUCCUACGGGAGGCAGCAGUGGGGAAUAUUGGACAAUGGGCGCAAGCCUGAUCCAGCCAUGCCGCGUGAGUGAUGAAGGCCUUAGGGUUGUAAAGCUCUUUUGUCCGGGAAGAUAAUGACUGUACCGGAAGAAUAAGUCCCGGCUAACUUCGUG
rnacentral:rRNA from 1 species